rnacentral:rRNA from 1 species
AAUGAACGCUGGCGGCGUGCUUUACACAUGCAAGUCGAGCGAGGCGGGGUAGCAAUACCCCAGUCGAGCGGCGAACGGGUGAGUAACGCGUGGGUAACCUGCCUCAAGGUGGGGGAUAACCCGGGGAAACUCGGGCUAAUACCGCAUAACAUCUACGGAUCAAAGGGGGCCGCAAGGCUCCUGCCGUGAGAGGGGCCCGCGUUCGAUUAGCUAGUUGGCAGGGUAACGGCCUACCAAGGCGACGAUCGAUAGCCGGCCUGAGAGGGUGAUCGGCCACACUGGAACUGAGACACGGUCCAGACUCCUACGGGAGGCAGCAGUGGGGAAUUUUGCGCAAUGGGCGAAAGCCUGACGCAGCAACGCCGCGUGGAGGAUGAAGGUCUUUGGAUUGUAAACUCCCGUCGACCGGGAAAAAGCAACUCGACCUAAUACGUCGGGGAGUUGAUUGUACCGGUGGAGGAAGCCCCGGCUAACUCUGUGCCAGCAGCCGCGGUAAUACA